rnacentral:rRNA from 1 species
CGGUAAUUCCAGCUCCAAUAGCGUAUACUAAUGUUGUUGCAGUUAAAAAGCUCGUAGUCGGAUUUCAGUUUAUUGUGUGGUUGCCUGUCCCGGCUCCAUUUGAUUUGCUUCAUUGAUGCGACCUUUCCUCGGAUUCAUUUUCGGUGUUUGUUUAGCAUCUCCUUUACUUUGAGAAAAUUAGAGUGUUCAAAGCAGGUUUUCGCCUGAAUAUUACUCUUGGAAUAAUAUUAUAGGACUUUGGUUCUAAUUUGUUGGUGUAUUGGGACCGGAGUAAUGAUUAAUAGCGACGGUUGGGGUCAUUCAUACUGCAAAGCGAGAGGUGAAAUUCUUGGACCUUUGUAUGAUGAACAACUGCGAAAGCAUUUGACUAGGACGUUCGUGUUGAUCAAGAACGAAAGUUGGGGGAUCGAAGACGAUCAGAUACCGUCGUAGUCUCAACCAUAAACUAUGCCAGCUAGGGAUGGGAAGGUGUUUAUUGACAACCCUUUCUGCACCUUAUGAGAAAUCAAAGCAUUUGGGUUCCGGGGGGAGUAUGGUCGCAAGGCUGAAACUUAAAGGAAUUGACGGGAGGGCACCACCAGGAGUGGAGCCUGUGGCUUAAUUUGACUCAACACGGGAAAACUUACCAGGUCCGGACAUAGUAAGGAUUGACAGAUUGAAAGCUCUUUCUUGAUUCUAUGGGUGGUGGUGCAUGGCCGUUCUUAGUUGGUGGAGUGAUUUGUCUGGUUAAUUCCGUUAACGAACGAGACCUCAGCCUGCUAAAUAGUUCGUAUAUUUUCUAAUGUAUUUAACUUCUUAGAGGGACUACUUCGCAAAACAAGCGAGAGGAAGCUUGAGGCAAUAACAGGUCUGUGAUGCCCUUAGAUGUUCUGGGCUGCACACGGGCUACACUGGUGUAUUCAAUAAGCGUUAUCAUCUCGUUCGAAAGAACUUGAUAAUCUUUGAAUGUGCACCGUGCUUGGGAUAGACUUUUGCAAUUUUGAGUCUUCAACGAGGAAUUCCUAGUAAACGCGAGUCAUCAGCUCGCAUUGAUUACGUCCCUGCCCCUUGUACACACCGCCC